GUCCUUCAGUCAGUUUUACAAACAUUAUAACUUUUAAUGCUCAUUGUUAACAUACUGACUUUUUGUGCUUUGGUUAGUAGAGUUCUGGUCACAAAUUUUGUUCCCUGUCAAGGAUAAAGAAUUGAAGAGCUAGGAAAGAUGGAAGAUUGAGUUUCAGAAAAAAAGAAAGUGCAAUUUUUUUUUCUCUUCAGGCAGAGAGCUCUAAGUCUGGGAAUCUGGCAAAGAAUUCCUUAUAAGAAGCAGGGAUGGAGACCUUUGUACUGUUGCUUUUCUUUAGUUACCCACACCUGCACCACCCCACUAAUUAUAUGCAAACAAGAAGCUGCCAUCUGACUUGUUGGGGGAGAGGACAUUUGUUUUCCUUGUCUUUCUGUGUUCUUUAUCAAGAAGGGACACUGUGUCCCUUGGCAAAUCUCCAAAUACUCAAGCUUCCUGUUUGUGGAUUGAGGGGAUGAACUACCAGUUGCUUCUCCAGCACCACUCCUGCUGCCACAUUCUUCCACAUAAUGGUUAACCCAAAUAAAAUCUUUCUUUUAUAAGUU